UAAAACCCACGUUAGUCCUACAUCACGUAUUGUCCCAAAAUGAUUUUUGAAAACAGAAAAGUACACAUUGUUACAACAUAUGGCUUGGAAAUAUCUGGGCACGCUUUAGAAUCAACAUCAAAUGCUAUGAGCAAUAUCUAUCUCUAAGCAAAGUAUUUGAUUCGGCAUCAUCUUUCAAGAUGCGUCCACAUUACUUCAUUCUAUUCCCCCAAAUGGAUUACUAUAUCUGUCUGUUUCACCAUCAAGUCUUAAUCGUUCUAUCGAUGGCAUCAUUCGCAAAAAAAAAAAAAAACCUGGUUGCACAAGCCAAGAAAGAGCCCACCAAAACUCCACCAAUAACUCUGGCCUCCACUCGGCCCACUAAGAAGGCCUAGCGCAAUGGUAAAGUUGCCCCAUUGUGACCUGGAGGUCAUGAGUUUGAGUUGCGGAAACCGCUUCUCUACUUGUGAGGCACCAAGUGUUACCGCUAGCAAGCCAGUUGCCCCAACGAAGAAAUAAGAAGAAGAAGGAUGAAUAUCUGAUUCUAUAUAUGAAGCUAUAUAUGCCAAUUCAGUUCUUGUUAUGUUUGUCAAUGUUGUAUGACAUUGGCUUGUGAUCCAUAUCUAUGUAGAGCUCUUUUUAGGCUCGGCCUAACUAAAUAAAACUUACUUAUUUAAGGAGGA